AUGCUGACACAACUUGCAAGCCUUAUCACUAUGUCUAUCUUCUAUGUGAUACAUAUUGCUCCCACAUAUGAUGUGCUAUAUUAUCUCCCAUUUGAUUUCCUGCUUCCCUUGAAUAGUUGA
rnacentral:rRNA from 1 species